CCUACGGGUGGCAGCAGUGGGGAAUAUUGGGCAAUGGAGGCAACUCUGACCCAGCAACGCCGCGUGAAGGAUGAAGGUUCUCCGAUUGUAAACUUCUGUCGCGAGGGACGAAGAAUGACGGUACCUCGUAAGAAAGCCCCGGCUAACUACGUGCCAGCCGCCGCGGUAAUACGGAGGGGGGGAGCGUUGUCCGGAGUGACUGGGCGUAAAGGGAGUGUAGGCGGGAAUAUAAGUUAGAUGUGAAAGCCCGCGGCUCAACCGCGGAACUGCAGCUAAUACUAUAUAGCUGGAGUGCAGGAGAGGUGAGUGGAAGUCCUAGUGGAGCGGUGAAAUGCUUAGAUAUCACGAAGAACUCCGAUUGCGAAGGCAGCUUACUAGACUGCCACUGACAUUGAUGCUCGAAAGUGUGGGUAUCAAACAGGAUUAGAGACCCGGGUAGUC
rnacentral:rRNA from 1 species